GGGGUUGUGGCUCAGUGGCAGAGCACUUGCCUUGCACGUAUGAGGCUCUGGGUUCAAUCCUCAGCACCA
rnacentral:tRNA from 1 species